GGAAAAGAACCGAACACGCCAAAACCUACAUACCCGUAGCUGUGAAAAUCUAUGAAAACAAAUAUCCUACUUCUACGGGGAGGAGACCUUCCAGCUGACCAGGAACUAUGAGAAACUCGAAGUCCAAAGAGCCACCAUCUUAUGUGACCUCGCAUUCCUACGCA